AUGGCGAGCUGCUUCUGCGGCACGAGCGCGGGGCGGCGGGGCCAGUUCGUGAAGCUGGUGUUCCCCGGCGGGCACGUGGAGCUGCUGGACCGGCCGGUGCUGGCGGCGGAGGUGAUGUCGCAGCACCCGCGGUUCUGCGUGGCGCGUCCCGACGUGUUCCGCGAGCCCGUCGGCGCGGUGGCCGCGCCCAACACCAUGCUCCACCUCGGGCACAAGUACUACGUCGUGCCCAAGAGCACCGUCCGGAGGCUGCUCAAGUACUCCUCCUCCCACAGCGCCAGCGGCGGGCGCGGCAGCGUGUCGCUGAGGCGGCACCUGGCCAGGCCCGACGGCCAUGACAGGGGCCACAAGGACGGCGGCAAGAAGUGGUUCGGCUGGGCCGUGGGCGGCGAAGCCAGGGCGCCCCAGAGGCCUCCCCAGGAGGUGGGCGUCAGUCAUGGCAGUGAAGAAGAAGCGGCCACGAUGGUACGUGUGAAAGACACCAAGGAGAAGGUGAGGGGUGCCAAAGGGGAGUCGCCGGGACGGCGGCGGCGGCGGCCGGUUGCUUCGCCGGCUGACUCGGCGUCCUAUUCCUGGCAGCCUAGCCUUCACAGCAUAACUGAAGAAUAA
rnacentral:rRNA from 1 species